UGAAUUCGAGGGGUAAAGCUAUUCUAGAAGCGUGAGUUGAGUUGAAAGCUUUCGAGGUAAGUGUUCGAUCUAACUUUGGCUUGAAGGAAUAUGAUUAUGUUGUUAUUUGUUAUGUUCUAUGUGGGGUCGGCGUAUAGGCAUGGUGAUGGUUACAUAUGCGCCCGAGUCAAGCAUAACCGUGAUGUUGUAUUUGCUAUUAAAUUGUGAAGUAAGUAAACAAUUGUGAUAAUUACUUGUUACAAGAACUAUGAAGUGAAAGUUGAGGAUUAAAUGAACUAAAGAGGAAUUUAUGGUAAUUUUCCCUUGCCGGGAUCAUUUGUUGAGUUGUAUUCCCUUGCCGGGACCUAUUGUUGAGUUGUAUCUCCCUUGCCG
rnacentral:lncRNA from 1 species